rnacentral:rRNA from 1 species
UGCCUACGGGGCGCAGCAGUAGGGAAUCUUCCACAAUGGACGAAAGUCUGAUGGAGCAACGCCGCGUGAGUGAAGAAGGGUUUCGGCUCGUAAAGCACUGGUGGUAGGGGAGAAAGAUAGAGGGAGUAACUGGCCUUUAUUUGACGGUAAUUACUUAGAAAGUCACGGCUAACUACGUGCCAGCAGCCGCGGUAAUACGUAGGUGGCAAGCGUUGGCCGGGUUUAUUGGGCGUAAAGCGAG